rnacentral:rRNA from 1 species
UACGGGGGGGGCAAGCGUUGUUCGGAAUUACUGGGCGUAAAGCGCGCGCAGGCGGUUCUUCAAGUCAGAGGUGAAAGCCCAGAGCUCAACUCUGGAAUGGCCUUUGAGACUAGAGAACUAGGGUACGGGAGAGGUGAGUGGAAUUCCGAGUGUAGAGGUGAAAUUCGUAGAUAUUCGGAAGAACACCAGUGGCGAAGGCGGCUCACUGGCCCGUUAUCGACGCUCAGGCGCGACAGCGUGGGGAGCAAACAGG